CGAGAUAAGUUGGGUAGUCAAAAGGGAAAGAGCCCAGACCUACAGCUAAGGUCCCAAAAUGUGUGUUAAGUGGAAAAGGAUGUGGGAUUUCGAAGACAACUAGGAUGUUGGCUUAGAAGCAGCCAUCCAUUAAAAGAGUGCGUAAUAGCUCACUAGUCGAGAGGUCCUGCGCCGAAAAUGUCCGGGGCUGAAACACACUACCGAAGCUUGGGAAUUGACGAAUGUUAAUUGGUAGAGGAGCAUUCUUAACGGGGCGAAGCUGUACCGGAAGGAGCAGUGGACUGUUAAGAAGAGAGAAUGCCGGAAUGAGUAGCGAGAGGAAGGUGAGAAUCCUUCCGGCCGAAUAUCUAAGGUUUCCAGAGUAAAGCUGAUCUGCUCUGGGUAAGUCGGGGCCUAAGGCGAGGUCGAAAGACGUAGUCGAUGGAUAACAGGUAAAGAUUCCUGUACUGUAUCAUAACAGAACUGUGGGGACGCAGACAGAGAGCAUAAGCCGGGAAUGGAAAGACCGGUACAAGCGAGGUAGGAGUGCAUCAGGCAAAUCCGGUGCACAAUCUGAAGACGUGAUGUGGGGCGUAAAGCCGGAAGUAUGUGAGCUGGCUGCCAAGAAAAGCCGCUAUUGUUUAUGAUAUACCCGUACCGUAAACCGACACAGGUGGAUGAGGAGAGAAUCCUAAGGCCGACGGGAGAAGCAUUGUUAAGGAACUCGGCAAAAUGACUCCGUAACUUCGGGAGAAGGAGUGCCAUGUAAAAGUGGCCGCAGAGAAUUGGCCCAAGCAACUGUUUAGCAAAAACACAGGUCUAUGCAAAACCGAAAGGUGAGGUAUAUGGGCUGACGCCUGCCCGGUGCUGGAAGGUUAAGGGGAGAGGUUAGCCGUAAGGCGAAGCUUUGAACUUAAGCCCCAGUAAACGGCGGCCGUAACUAUAACGGUCCUAAGGUAGCGAAAUUCCUUGUCGGGUAAGUUCCGACCCGCACGAAAGGCGUAAUGAUUUGGGCACUGUCUCAACAAUGCACCCGGUGAAAUUGAAAUACCAGUGAAGAUGCUGGUUACCUGCGCCAGGACGGAAAGACCCCAUGGAGCUUUACUCCAGCUUGAUACUGGGAUUCGAUAUUGCAUGUACAGGAUAGGUGGGAGACUGAGAACUGAUGACGCCAGUUGUCAGGGAGUCACUGUUGGGAUACCACCCUUGUAGUAUUGGAUUUCUAACCAGCAGCCGUGAACCGGCUGGGGGACAAUGUCAGGUGGGGAGUUUGACUGGGGCGGUCGCCUCCGAAAGGGUAUCGGAGGCGCUCAAAGGUUCCCUCAGAAUGGUUGGAAACCAUUCGAAGAGUGCAAAGGCAGAAGGGAGCUUGACUGCGACACCGACGGGUGGAGCAGGUACGAAAGUAGGACUUAGUGAUCCGGUGGUAUAAAGUGGGAUUGCCAUCGCUCAACGGAUAAAAGCUACCCUGGGGAUAACAGGCUUAUCACUCCCAAGAGUUCACAUCGACGGAGUGGUUUGGCACCUCGAUGUCGGCUCAUCGCAUCCUGGGGCUGAAGUAGGUCCCAAGGGUUGGGCUGUUCGCCCAUUAAAGCGGUACGCGAGCUGGGUUCAGAACGUCGUGAGACAGUUCGGUCCCUAUCCGGCGUGGGCGUAGGAUAUUUGAGAGGAGCUGCCCUUAGUACGAGAGGACCGGGGUGGACUGGCCGCUGGUGGAUCUGUUGUAUUACCAAAUGCAUAGCAGAGUAGCCAAGCCGGGACGGGAUAAACGCUGAAGGCAUCUAAGCGUGAAGCCCCCCUCAAGAUGAGAUAUCCCAUAACGUCAAGUUAGUAAGACCCCUUGAAGACGACGAGGUAGAUAGGGCAGAGGUGGAAGUGCGGUAACGCAUGGAGCUGACUGUUACUAAUAGGUCGAGGGCAUAACCAA
rnacentral:rRNA from 1 species